rnacentral:rRNA from 1 species
UACAGAGAGUGCAAACGUUGUUCGGAAUUACUGGGCUUGAAGCGCACGUAGGCGGCGUUGUAAGUGUCGGGUGAAAUCCCACGGCUCACCCGUGGAACUGCCCGGCAUACUGCGAUGCUAGAGUGUGGUAGGGGAGAGCGGAACUCCUGGUGGAGCGGUGAAAUGCGUAGAUAUCAAGGAGGAACACCGGUGGCGAAGGCGGCUCUCUGGUCCACAACUGACGCUGAGGUGCGAAAGCUAGGGAGCAAACGGG